rnacentral:rRNA from 1 species
UACGUAGGUGGCAAGCGUUGUUCGGAAUUAUUGGGCGUAAAGGGCGCGUAGGCGGUUUGUUAAGUCAGCUGUGAAAGCCCGGGGCUCAACCCCGGAGGGUCAGCUGAUACUGGCAGGCUAGAGUACAGAAGAGGUAACUGGAAUUCCCAGUGUAGCGGUGAAAUGCGUAGAUAUUGGGAAGAACACCUGAGGCGAAGGCGGGUUGCUGGGCUGACACUGACGCUGAGGCGCGAAAGCCAGGGGAGCGAACGGG